GAUGAACGCUGGCGGCGUGCCUGAUACAUGCAAGUCGAGCGAACAGACGAGGAGCUUGCUCCUCUGACGUUAGCGGCGGACGGGUGAGUAACACGUGGAUAACCUACCUAUAAGACUGGGAUAACUUCGGGAAACCGGAGCUAAUACCGGAUAACAUGUUGAACCGCAUGGUUCAACAGUGAAAGACGGUUUUGCUGUCACUUAUAGAUGGAUCCGCGCCGCAUUAGCUAGUUGGUAAGGUAACGGCUUACCAAGGCAACGAUGCGUAGCCGACCUGAGAGGGUGAUCGGCCACACUGGAACUGAGACACGGUCCAGACUCCUACGGGAGGCAGCAGUAGGGAAUCUUCCGCAAUGGGCGAAAGCCUGACGGAGCAACGCCGCGUGAGUGAAGAAGGUCUUCGGAUCGUAAAACUCUGUUAUUAGGGAAGAACAAAUGUGUAAGUAACUAUGCACGUCUUGACGGUACCUAAUCAGAAAGCCACGGCUAACUACGUG
rnacentral:rRNA from 1 species